GACGAACGCUGGCGGCGUGCUUAACACAUGCAAGUCGAACGGAAAGGCCCUGCUUUUGUGGGGUGCUCGAGUGGCGAACGGGUGAGUAACACGUGAGUAACCUGCCCUUGACUUUGGGAUAACUUCAGGAAACUGGGGCUAAUACCGGAUAGGAGCUCCUGCUGCAUGGUGGGGGUUGGAAAGUUUCGGCGGUUGGGGAUGGACUCGCGGCUUACCAGCUUGUUGGUGGGGUAGUGGCUUACCAAGGCUUUGACGGGUAGCCGGCCUGAGAGGGUGACCGGGCACAUUGGGACUGAGAUACGGCCCAGACUCCUACGGGAGGCAGCAGUGGAGAAUAUUGCACAGUGGGCGGAAGCCUGAUGCAGCAACGCCGCGUGCGGGAUGACGGCCUUCGGGUUGUAAACCGCUUUCGCCUGUGACGAAGCGGGAGUGACGGUAAUGGGUAAAGAAGCGCCGGCUAACUACGUG
rnacentral:rRNA from 1 species